GCCCUUAUAGCUCAGUGGUAGAGCGCAUCACUCGUAAUGAUGAGGUCGGCGGUUCAAUCCCGCCUGGGGGCA
rnacentral:tRNA from 1 species